GGCUUCCGGGAAUGGUUUUGCUUUUCUGGUAUGAGAGACAGAUAUGUUUGGUGCAACUCUGUUGCCUUUCUCCUGCCCUGACCUGGAAGGUGAAGGUUAGAGCUGUGGCAGCCAAGUGAGGACGUCAAAGAACACCAAAAAAAGACAGAAAGAGCCUGGGAAAUGCCAGCAACUGCCGAUCUCCAGAAUCCCUGGCGCAUCAGCGUCCAGAGGCAGCGGCUGCCACGUCCUGGAUCAGAUGUCCACUUGCUGACUUGGGAGAACAAAAGUAGGUUUGGUGUGUGCGAUGAAAAUGAUCCAGUAGUGAGGAAGCGACUGAUGAUGCUAGAAGCAGAAAUGAUACUCCAGGACUGAAGUCCCUGAUAAAGAAGGAGAAAGAGCCAGAGCACAGGUCAGGAGACUGGCUUUUGACAAGAGCAGAGAUCGCUCUCACUGGGGGGGAGACAGAAAACAACAAGUAGAUUUGUGGAUCCAGCAGCAGGUGGAUAAGAAACUCCCCCACUUGCUUGUUUCUACUUUUUCAAGAAAAUGGAAAGCAAGGUCAUCAGCCAAGGAUUGGGAAGAGAGGCUAUGGGAGAUUCAAAACUCCCUUCUGGAUCACAGAAGAAAAUCAAUUAUAUCACAUGAUGCAGAAUAUCUAUCUCCAAUCCUACUUUAUGGUACCACUCCAGGGCCUUCCCUGAAGAGUAGAGAGCAUGAUGAAAAUGGCUAUGAUUAUGAUUCCCAUUUUACAGAGGAGAAAAGCAGGCUUACAGAGGUUUAAGUAAGGCACCUAAGGAGCUGAUUAGCAGUGACACUGGGGACUCACCGGGUCUGUAUGACCACUGAACCAAUUAUUCAAUGCUCUGGCACACCCAAAGUCCUGAAUGAACAGUAGUAAGAUUUGGCACAGACAAGAUCAUCCUCUAUGACUUCAUUCAGUCAACAUUUCCCCAGCCAGAGGUCAUCGGGUCAUCGUGCCUGAGUGGCCCAGACGCUUCAGGCCACACGGGAAGAUCUCGUGAACUGUCAGACGUGUGCGUGCGUAUGCAUCUGUGUGCACGCGUAUGAGACGGAAAGCGGUCCGAGGGAGAUACAGAAGAUACAUAUCGGCAUUCUUGGGCUCUAGUUCAGAACUAUUCUCCGAAGCACUGGAGAGUUGGUUUGUCUCAGAGCACUAAUGCAUUUUGGAAAAGAGAAAGAAUUUUUAAAGGCAAGCCAUCUCUCAUCCUCUUUCUUCAUUCACAGGGCCAGAAAAGUGGUAUUUCUGGCAGGGGCUAGAGGCAGAAUACUCUAUAAAUACAAAGCCAUUAAAUCCCAUGCAGCGGGAACCUGAUCGGAGCCUCCUUUUAAUUUCCUGACAUGAGCUGGCCACUAACCCAAUUACCCAGAAUCCCCGGAGGAGCCCUCCGCCCUCCCAACAAGCACAAAGAGAGUGAGAGCAUAUUGCAUGGAUGUCGGCCCAGCUUUCACUGAAAUCAAAUAUCUUUUAGAAAACACUUGGGGAAAAGGCAGGCAAGGGCUGAGGGGAGGAGGAAGUGGAGGGGGACAGGGAGGCUGCUGGCCCGAGGCAGGUGAAGUGAGGUGAGGAGAAGGUGAAGUUCGCAGGACAGGCCUUCCAGGGAAAGCUGCUGAAAGCCCAGAGCCGUGCUGAAGCGUGCGGGCUUCCUGUGAAAGGCAGCAAAUGGUUUUCCAGGUUCUUCGGCUCAGAGGCUGGCAGGCCACACCCCAGCCAGGCGGGGAAGCCCAACUAUCAGGGGAGAGCCGCUCCGCUGCUGUCCCGAGGGAACCUCUCAUCCUGACUUUAGACCCCAGACAGGGGGCCAGCCCCAGACGGAGGUCACCCCUGAGAUGCCCACCAGCGAAUCCAGGAGGAAGAUCAGGGCGGCCAGUAUGUCUCACCUCACGCGAGACCGUCUUUGAACCAACUACUCUAAUAACACGCCCAGAAAGGUGACGGCUUAAAGCAAUCCCACGGUGGAUUUCACCAAGGAGUCAUUCCAUGUGGUCCCCCCCCGCCCUCACUUGACCUGCAGGUGUCAACACCCCUGCUCCCCAGGUGAAGAAAUGGAGGCCCAGGAGUGUAAGCCAGAGAGAGAACGUACACGGCAGGAUUCCCUCAGAGCCAGGAGGGAGGGCGCAGGCCCCAACCCUCAACCCAGUGUGGAUUUCCUGUCCGAUUUCUUAUGAAGAGAAAAGUCACUUUUUUUCUCUGAAAAAGCAGACUUUCACACACUGGAUUUGCUUAAAGUGAGACAGACCUGGGUACUGCCUACGUGGAACAGUCGAUGAUGAUGAUUCCAGAGCCGACGGCGGCCCCAAGGCAGGGGGGAGGCUGAGUCGCAAGAAGUCCCAUCACCAGAGUUUCCCCUCUCUCCCCCACCCCCACAGGUGCUGGCCCCCAAAUUACGAAGCAGUGUCGAAGGUGUUUUACUUGCGAAAAGAAAAACCGUAAAAGACAGGGGCGCCUAGGUGGCUCAGCGGGUUAAGCAUCUGACUUUGGCUCAGGUCACGAUAUCACGGUCUGUGGGUUCGAGCCCCGUGGCAGGCUCUGUGCUGACAGCCUGCUUUGGAUUCCGUCUCCCUUUCUCUCUGGCCCUCCCGCCCCCCCCACCGCACACACGCUCUCUAGAGCUGCUGGACAGAAGAUAGGAAACAGCUUAAGAUGUGCAGGUGAGGUAGGGAGGAGGGGGAGCGGACAUUCGCAUCCCUUCUCCAGCCUCCUGCCACCCACACACUUCUGCACAAGACCUGAGACCCGGGACCCCGGCCCCUGGUUCCUCCAAGCGAGGCCCACCCCAGAUCCUUCAGGAGGAGUGGCUCCCAGGGAGGCUGCAGCCUGCCUCUCCGAGUCGGGCCAGAGUCUGGGGGAAAGCAGAGGGAGGCCAGGGAGCCUGUGCCUGCCCCAGGGGCCCAGGCUCCCGCUCACGAGGUGGUGGGGGGACAACCAAACAAAAGCAGGAGCCGGGGCAGCUGCCAAGAGCCCCCACCUGGCAGGGACCCAGGCUCCUCAAUGAGGCACGCUCCUCCUCAGGGGGCUGGUCCCCGUGGAGCUUCUGAUGGCAGGAUCCCGCCAAGGCUCUGCACUGCAGGGGACAGAAACUAAAUGGAGGCACUCGGCUUUGUCCGCUCCGGGAGCCUUCGUGUCAUCCUGUCCCCUCUGGAUUUAGAACUGCCAGCACUGGGGCGGCGUGGCGGAGGGGAGGGUUCUGUGGACGGCCCCUCCUCCUCCAGGCAGAGCUCCGGAAAGGGCCUCUCCAGACUGGGCCCAAGGGGUGUCAGAUGCCCCUUGCUGCCACCCUAGAAAGAAACCAUGCAGGGGUUUCAAGUGGUGGUCCCCCCCUUUUUCCUCAUCUCUCCUUCCC